rnacentral:rRNA from 1 species
AUUGAACGCUGGCGGCAGGCCUAACACAUGCAAGUAGAACGAGUGGCGGACGGGUGAGUAAUGUCUGGGAAACUGCCCGAUGGAGGGGGAGAACUACUGGAAACGGUAGCUAAUACCGCAUACCAUCGGAUGUGCCCAGAUGGGUUUAGCUAUUAGGUGGGGUAAAGGCUCACCUAGGCGACGAUCCCUAGCUGGUCUGGGAGGAUGACCAGCCACACUGAAACUGAGACACGGUCCAGACGCCUACGGGAUGCAGCAGGGGGGAAUAUUGCACAAUGGGCGCAAGCCUGAUUGAGCCAUGCCGCGUGUAUGAAGAAGGCCUUCGGGUUGUAAAGUACUUUCAGCGGGGAGGCGUUACUCGCAGAAGAAGCACCGGCUAACUCCGUGCCAGCAGCCGCGGUAAUAC